AGUAUCCCCAUUUCACUGGUAAGGACAUUAGUGGUUUGAAGAGAUUAGGUUAUAUCCCAAGAUCAUAUAAGCUCAUAAAUGCCAGAGUUAGGGCUCAAAACCAAGCAAACAGAUAAUGGACAUUUAUUGCCAGCCUCUUCACUAAGAAUUGGUGACCUAGAGAAGAAUGAAACAAAAGUCCUUUCCCUCAAGAAACUCAGUCUGAUUGAGGACGAGAGACAACAAGUAAAUCUGAAUUAUAAUA